GACGUAGGAUGCGAGCGUUGUCCGGAUUUAUUGGGCGUAAAGAGUUCGUAGGCGGUUCGUUAAGUCUGAUGUUAAAGACUGGGGCCCAACCCUGGGAGUGCAUUGGAUACUGGCGGACUGGAGUGCAGUAGAGGCAAGCGGAAUUCCAGGUGUAGCGGUGAAAUGCGUAGAUAUCGGGAGGAACACCUGAGGCGAAGGCGGGCUACUGGGCCGAUACUGACGCUGAGGAGCGAAAGCGUGGGGAGCGAACAGG
rnacentral:rRNA from 1 species